rnacentral:rRNA from 1 species
GACGAACCGAGCGAACGUUGUUCGGAAUCACUGGGCUUAAAGGGCGCGUAGGCGGGUGCUCAAGUCCGGGGUGAAAUCCUCCAGCUCAACUGGAGAACUGCCUCGGAUACUGGGUGUCUCGAGGGUGGUAGGGGGUAUGCGGAACUAUCGGUGGAGCGGUGAAAUGCGUUGAUAUCGAUAGGAACUCCGGUGGCGAAGGCGGCAUUCUGGACCUGCAACUGACGCUGAGGACGAAAGCCAGGGGAGCAAACGGG